rnacentral:rRNA from 1 species
GACGAACGCUGGCGGCGUGCCUAACACAUGCAAGUCGAACGGUGAAGCGCGUUCCUUUUUGGUGGGUGUGGAUGAGUGGCGAACGGGUGAGCAACAGGUGAGUAACCUGCCCCGUGCGUCUGGAUAACCGCAUGAAAGUGUGUCUAACACAGGAUAUUCUGUGUCUGUCGCUUGAUGGGUCUGGGACAGUUAUUGUUUCGGUGGGGGAUGGGCCCGCGGCCUAUCAGCUUGUUGGUGGGGUGAUGGCCUACCAAGGCGGUGACGGGUAGCCGGCCUGAGAGGGUGGCCGGUCAGGGAGGGAGUGAGGCCCGGCCCCGCCUCGGGAGGGAGACAGAAGUGAGGAUUAUUGAACGAUGGAAGGCGGACUGAUGCAGCGCCGCCGAGUGAAGGAUGGAGGCCGGCGGGUUGUGUCCUUCUUUCGCGAGGGAAGCAGGGCUGCCUCGUUUGUGGACAGGUUGACGGUAGCUGGAUAAAAAGCGACGGCUAACUACGUG